AGGUUCAUCCAUGUUGCACUGUACUGACAGAAUUUCAUUCCAUUUUGUGGCUGAAUAAUAUUCCAUUGUAUGUAUUCCUGACUGGAAUCCUCCACAGGUCACUCAAUAAUAGAACCAUCAGAGUUUCGUCUAAACAGAACUGCCCAGCAAGAGAUUACAUUUCCUAGUCUACCUUGAAGGGAGGAGAGAGGAUGGGAACAAAGAUGGACCAAUGAACUGUCUUUUACCAGGAGAAUGAGGACUACACUCUAGGGGCUAGUUCGCAACACAAUAGGAGAAUCUGAGUCCCUGAAUGAUCUCCUGCAUCAAAAUCCCUGCUAGCCAGAAUUGGAUGAACUCCUAUAUGAGACAGAAAAAAAUCUACCACCUUGAUAAAUUCACUAUAUCUUUGGAGAUUUUAUGUUACAGUAGCUUAGUCUAUACCCUAAAUAUUAUAAUUGAAUUAUAAGAAUAUGGAUUGAUGAGGAAUAUCUUUGAAAUAGAGAAACACAACCAUAUUAACACUUUAAAUGUUUUCAUCACAUCUUAAGCUAUUGAUAAAUAAGGGACUGUCCUUAAUCUUCAUAUUCCUAGCAUUUAUCCUAUUGCCUAACACGGUAAUCAAUGCAUUUUUUUCCCUUAAUUAGUCAGAUAAUUCACAUAAUAACAUUGGCAAAGUAAGAAUGGUUGUAUGAUUCAAAUAGUUUUUAAAAUGAACAUUAAUUCUGCCUCCUUCACCCAUUAAUUAUAGUUGUCUCCCUAGUGUCUAACUCUGUGCCUUCUCAUCAAGAUUUGAAUUGAAUUACUACUCAUCAUAUCUGUCCCAUCUGAAUGAAAAAUGCCCUUGAUUCCUAUUUGUUUGUCCUAGAAGAUUCUAAUCAUUUAUUUUAACAGAAAAUUUAGAACAACAGUAGACUAAGUGUUUGGUAAGUUUGGAGACGUGCUUGUUAGAAAAAGAUUUAAACCUUCCUUUUAUUUUUAUAGUCCCACAGCCAAAUUUUCAAUAGUAAAUUCCAUACGCAAUACAGUAUUCCAAAAUAUUAUUAGAUCACACAGAAAUAAAUCCUCAAAUAAUCUCUUCCACACACACAAACUUAAUUUAAACAAGAAAAGCGCCCAAUUCUAUUUGCAAUAAUUAUCUGAGUGGCAAUACUCAUUAAUGUGGUUUCUAACCAAAUAUAAAUAAAGAAUAUGUGUGGAGAACACUGGAAUAAUAAAACCGGGCCACAAUAUUCAACACAAUGGAAGGAAAAACUGCCAUUCAUCUUCCUGUUGAUUAUCAAAUUGCAUUUCCUUCUUCAAGCUCAUUAAUACUGGAUGUGGUAUUGUUUUCUUCAGUAAGUGAAAAAUCAGAUUGUGAAAUUGAAAAUGCUACAUGAGGGAUGCAGUCUGAUACAUUGGACAGAGCAAUGAAUUUGGAGUUAGAAGACCUGGGUUCCACUGAAUUCUGGCUCUGCCACUAAAUUUCAGUUUUUUACUUUCAACAAGUUAUUAAUGCUUUCUAAGCUUAAAAUUCUUACUUUAUAAGACUAGCAGGAUGGGCUAGAUGAUUAAUAAGUUAUUUUCUGGUUAUAGAGUUUUGUGAUUCUAUCAAUUUCCCAGUGUAUCCCAUAACAUUAAAAACUCAUCCAACAUACAUUAAUUAAGGAAUAUACUUUGUGUUAGGCACCAAGUUAGAUCAAAGUUGAAGGUAAAUGAUGAAGAUAGACAUGAUCUCUGUCCUCCUGGAGCUUACAGUCAAAUGGAAAGACAGAGACUGUAUUAAUAUUAUAACACUAAAUAAUUAGUUGCAUUUGUGGGAUGUGCCACCAAGAAAGGUAGACAAUGCUAUAAGAUAUAAAAUAAACAAACCUAUUCUACUCUAGAAUGCUAGGGAAUCUUCUCUGAUUAAGAAACAUUUAAGCCAAGACCUGUAGGACAAUAGCCAGGCAAAGAGGAACAGAGGGGAAGUCCAGACAGAGGAAACAGCAGGAGCAAAUUCCUUGUGUUGGAAGAGAGUUCUUGGCCCAUUUAAGUUAGUGAAAACAAGCCAGUGUUGCUGGAGCACACAGAGUGAGGGAGAAAGUGGUACAAAAUGCAACUGGAGAAGUAAGCAAGGUCAGUUCAUUUGGAACCGUAAAGACAAACAUAUUAUGAAUUUUGGACUCUGUACAAAGAUAUACAGGAUGAGACAGAACAGUUUUAGAUAAGGAUGCAAUAUGACAGUUUUGCCUUGAAAACAUUACUCUAUUGGGAAUAGUGUUGGUGGCAGUUGUGGAUAUGAGGAGACCAGAUCAAAGUUCUAUCAUAUCAGAUGGGCAAGAGAUGACAGAGAUAACAGGGUUCUUAUAGAUAAAAUGAAAAGAAGUGGAUGGAUUUUUGUAUUUAUUUAGAAGCAAGGAUUUACCAAAAGUGUGAUUAAUUUGGAUACUGGUAUUGAAGAAGUGUGAAAUUUCCAAGGUCAUUCCAUAUUCUCAGUCUUUGGCAGCUAGUAGAUGUGGAAAACAUAUACUAAGCUGGCUUAUACCACAGGAAUGAUCACUUUGGAGAAGGGGGGAAUUAUGAUUUUAUUUUGGAAUAAUGAGUUUGUGCUGUGCACACAACAACCAAGGAAAAUGUUGAACACUAUUUAGACAGAGGUCUAAAUUUUAAUAGAGGUGUUUGAGAUAUAUAAUAUAUAGUAUUUUAUAUAUAUUGUAA